rnacentral:rRNA from 1 species
GCUCAGGAUGAACGCUAGCUACAGGCUUAACACAUGCAAGUCGAGGGGCAGCAUGGUCUUAGCUUGCUAAGGCCGAUGGCGACCGGCGCACGGGUGAGUAACACGUAUCCAACCUGCCGUCUACUCUUGGACAGCCUUCUGAAAGGAAGAUUAAUACAAGAUGGCAUCAUGAGUCCGCAUGUUCACAUGAUUAAAGGUAUUCCGGUAGACGAUGGGGAUGCGUUCCAUUAGAUAGUAGGCGGGGUAACGGCCCACCUAGUCUUCGAUGGAUAGGGGUUCUGAGAGGAAGGUCCCCCACAUUGGAACUGAGACACGGUCCAAACUCCUACGGGAGGCAGCAGUGAGGAAUAUUGGUCAAUGGGCGAGAGCCUGAACCAGCCAAGUAGCGUGAAGGAUGACUGCCCUAUGGGUUGUAAACUUCUUUUAUAAAGGAAUAAAGUCGGGUAUGGAUACCCGUUUGCAUGUACUUUAUGAAUAAGGAUCGGCUAACUCCGUGCCAGCAGCCGCGGUAAUACGGAGGAUCCGAGCGUUAUCCGGAUUUAUUGGGUUUAAAGGGAGCGUAGAUGGAUGUUUAAGUCAGUUGUGAAAGUUUGCGGCUCAACCGUAAAAUUGCAGUUGAUACUGGAUAUCUUGAGUGCAGUUGAGGCAGGCGGAAUUCGUGGUGUAGCGGUGAAAUGCUUAGAUAUCACGAAGAACUCCGAUUGCGAAGGCAGCCUGCUAAGCUGCAACUGACAUUGAGGCUCGAAAGUGUGGGUAUCAAACAGGAUUAGAUACCCUGGUAGUCCACACGGUAAACGAUGAAUACUCGCUGUUUGCGAUAUACAGCAAGCGGCCAAGCGAAAGCGUUAAGUAUUCCACCUGGGGAGUACGCCGGCAACGGUGAAACUCAAAGGAAUUGACGGGGGCCCGCACAAGCGGAGGAACAUGUGGUUUAAUUCGAUGAUACGCGAGGAACCUUACCCGGGCUUAAAUUGCAGAUGAAUUACGGUGAAAGCCGUAAGCCGCAAGGCAUCUGUGAAGGUGCUGCAUGGUUGUCGUCAGCUCGUGCCGUGAGGUGUCGGCUUAAGUGCCAUAACGAGCGCAACCCUUGUUGUCAGUUACUAACAGGUUCCGCUGAGGACUCUGACAAGACUGCCAUCGUAAGAUGUGAGGAAGGUGGGGAUGACGUCAAAUCAGCACGGCCCUUACGUCCGGGGCUACACACGUGUUACAAUGGGGGGUACAGAGGGCCGCUACCACGCGAGUGGAUGCCAAUCCCCAAAACCUCUCUCAGUUCGGACUGGAGUCUGCAACCCGACUCCACGAAGCUGGAUUCGCUAGUAAUCGCGCAUCAGCCACGGCGCGGUGAAUACGUUCCCGGGCCUUGUACACACCGCCCGUCAAGCCAUGGGAGCCGGGGGUACCUGAAGUGCGUAACCGCGAGGAGCGCCCUAGGGUAAAACUGGUGACUGGGGCUAAGUC